ACGGGAGGCAGCAGUGGGGAAUAUUGCACAAUGGGCGAAAGCCUGAUGCAGCGACGCCGCGUGAAUGAUGAAGUAUUUCGGUAUGUAAAGUUCUAUCAGCAGGGAAGAAGAAUGACGGUACCUGACUAAGAAGCACCGGCUAAAUACGUGCCAGCAGCCGCGGUAAUACGUAUGGUGCAAGCGUUAUCCGGAUUUACUGGGUGUAAAGGGAGCGCAGGCGGCGCGGCAAGUCUGAUGUGAAAGCCCGGGGCUCAACCCCGGUACUGCAUUGGAAACUGUCGUGCUAGGGUGUCGGAGGGGUAAGCGGAAUUCCUAGUGUAGCGGUGAAAUGCGUAGAUAUUAGGAGGAACACCAGUGGCGAAGGCGGCUUACUGGACGAUAACUGACGCUGAGGCUCGAAAGCGUGGGGAGCAAACAGGAUUAGAUACCCUGGUA
rnacentral:rRNA from 1 species